AGAGUUUGAUCCUGGCCCAGGAUAAACGCUGGCGGCGUGCCUAAUACAUGCAAGUCGAACGAGGGCGGCCAAGCUUGCUUGGCCAAACGAGUGGCGAACGGGUGAGUAACACAUAAGCAACCUGCCCACGGAGACCGGGAUAAUCUCUGGAAACGGGGACUAAAACCGGAUAGGUAGCACAGCCGCAUGGUAGUGCUAUUAAAGGUGAGAGACACUGGUGGAUGGGCUUAUGGCGCAUUAGCUAGUUGGUGAGGUAAAGGCCCACCAAGGCGAUGAUGCGUAGCCGGCCUGAGAGGGUGAACGGCCACAUUGGGACUGAGACACGGCCCAGACUCCUACGGGAGGCAGCAGUAGGGAAUUUUCGGCAAUGGGGGAACCCUGACCGAGCACGCCGCGUGAACGAUGAAGUCUCGGAUUGUAAGGUUCUGUUGUACGGAAGAACGGUAUGGAGAGGAUCAUAGUGACGUACGUACCAGAAGCACGGCUACUACGUGCAGCAGCGCGUAUAGUAGUGGCAGCGUAUCGGAUUAUGGCUAAGGUGCUUGGCGUCGUUNNGGGGGGGUAGGUGGCGAGCGUUAUCCGGAAUUAAUUGGGCGUAAUCUAGGGUGGCGUAGGCGGUCUGUUAAGUUCAUGGUUAAAGCGUGGGGCUCAACCCCAUAAAGCCACGGAUACUGGCAGACUAGAGUACUGGAAAGGGCAGUGGAAUUCCAUGUGUAGCGGUAAAAUGCGUAGAUAUAUGGAGGAACACCGGUGGCGAAGGCGGCUGCCUGGACAGAGACUGACGCUGAGGCACGAAAGCGUGGGGAGCAAAUAGGAUUAGAUACCCUAGUAGUCCACGCCGUAAACGAUGGAUACUAAGUAUUGGGGCAACUCAGUGCUGCAGUUAACGCAAUAAGUAUCCCGCCUGUGGAGUAUGCACGCAAGUGUGAAACAUAAAGGAAUUGACGGGGGCCCGCACAAGCGGUGGAGUAUGUGGUUUAAUUCGACGCAACGCGAAGAACCUUACCAGGCCUUGACAUCCCGUGCAAAGGUAUAGAGAUAUACCGGAGGUUACCAAGGUGACAGGUGGUGCAUGGUUGUCGUCAGCUCGUGUCGUGAGAUGUUGGGUUAAGUCCCGCAACGAGCGCAACCCUUUCUUCAGUUACCAAUAUCAAGUUAGGGACUCUGGAGAGACUGCCGGUGAUAAACCGGAGGAAGGUGGGGAUGACGUCAAGUCCUCAUGGCCCUUACGGGCUGGGCUACACACGUACUACAAUGGCGAAUACAAAGGGAAGCAAGCGUGCGAACGCAAGCGGAUCCUAUAAAAUUCGUCUCAGUUCAGAUUGCACUCUGCAACUCGAGUGCAUGAAGUUGGAAUCGCUAGUAAUCGCGAAUCAGCAGGUCGCGGUGAAUACGUUCCCGGGCCUUGUACACACCGCCCGUCACACCAUGGGAGUUGGUUCUACCUGAAGGCGCUGUGCUGACCGCAAGGAGGCAGGUGACCACGGUAGGAUCAGUGACUGGGGUGAAGUCGUAACAAGGUAACCGUA
rnacentral:rRNA from 1 species